GUCUAUGGCCAUGCCACCCUGAACAAGCCCGAUCCUGUCUGAUCUCGGAAGCUAAGCAGAGUCUGGCCUGGUUAGUACUUGGAUGGGAGAACACCUAGGAAGACCAGAUGCUGUAGGCG
rnacentral:rRNA from 1 species